rnacentral:rRNA from 1 species
GGAUUAGAUACCCUGGUAGUCCACGCCGUAAACGAUGAGAACUAGAUGUCGGGAGGAUCUUCCUCUCGGUGUCGCAGCUAACGCGUUAAGUUCUCCGCCUGGGGAGUACGGUGGCAACACUAAAACUCAAAGGAAUUGACGGGGACCCGCACAAGCGGUGGAGCAUGUGGUUUAAUUCGAUGCAACGCGAAGAACCUUACCUGCCCUUGACAUUCUCGGAACUUACCAGAGAUGGUUUGGUGCCUUCGGGAACCGAUGAACAGGUGCUGCAUGGCUGUCGUCAGCUCGUGCCG